rnacentral:rRNA from 1 species
AUACGGAGGAUCCGAGCGUUAUCCGGAUUUAUUGGGUUUAAAGGGUGCGCAGGCGGCCAUUUACGUCAGCGGUUAAAUCGUGGGGCUCAACCCCAUUCUGCCGUUGAUACUGGGUGGCUUGAUUGCGGUCGAGGUUGGCGGAAUUCGUUGUGUAGCGGUGAAAUGCAUAGAUAUGACGAAGAACACCGAUUGCGUAGGCAGCUGACCAGACCGCAAAUGACGCUCAUGCACGAAAGUGCGGGGAUCGAACAGGAUUAGAUACCCUGGUAGUCCGCACAGUAAACGAUGAAUACUUGUUUUCGGCGAUAUAAUGUCGGAGGCAAAGCGAAAGCGAUAAGUAUUCCACCUGGGGAGUACGCCGGCAACGGUGAAACUCAAAGGAAUUGACGGG